rnacentral:rRNA from 1 species
GUAGGGAAUAUUGGGCAAUGGUCGGAAGACUGACCCAGCCAUGCCGCGUGCAGGAAGACGGCCCUCUGGGUUGUAAACUGCUUUUAUCUGGGAAGAAAAAGGCCAUGCGUGGCAAAUUGCCGGUACCAGAUGAAUAAGCACCGGCUAACUCCGUGCCAGCAGCCGCGGUAAUACGGAGGGUGCGAGCGUUGUCCGGAUUUAUUGGGUUUAAAGGGUGCGUAGGCGGCUGGUUAAGUCAGCGGUGAAAGACUUCGGCUUAACCGGAGCAGUGCCGUUGAUACUGGUUGGCUUGAGUGUCGGAGAGGUACAUGGAAUUGAUGGUGUAGCGGUGAAAUGCAUAGAUACCAUCAGGAACACCGAUAGCGAAGGCAUUGUACUGGCCGACAACUAACGCUGAUGCACGAAAGUGUGGGGAUCGAACAGGAUUAGAUACCCCAGUAGUCC